GGGGAGGGGACACCUUGAGGCACAGCUGGAAGGAAGGAUGAAACUUAGGGAGAAACCAACUUGGGGAAAACAUGGAGGAUAGCAAACCAUACUAUUUAACAGCCAACUUAAUAAGCUCAAUAAAAUAAAAACAAACUGCAACAAUUCUGCUCUCCAGUAAGAAGAGUCAAGAGAGAGAAGGGGAGUCCAGGGAUGGCAACACAGGAAGUCUGGUGUGAAAAGGAUGGAAAAAAACGUACUCACUGCAAAUGAAAAUGAAAAGAUUGGCCAAGUUCAGGGAGUCACUAAUGACUAAAGUACAGAAGAAGACCUAUUACAACCCAACUGAAAACCACCUGGGAAUCUGAAGAAAAACAACACAAAACAAAACAAGCAACCCAAAAAAGCACCUAAAAAACUAAAGCCCCCCUUACCCCCCUUAAUUGGUAUGAGAAAACUUUCUUGUGCUAAAUAGACAAAAAUAGUACUACAUGAGAGAGAAAACAGGAAAAGAGGAAUCACAAGCACUAAUCUGGUUGGUGUUUUAGACAGUUCCAGUGGGAAAAAUUAGGGUGAAGGGAGAAGAAUUGUUAAAAUUUUAAGUUAGGAUGUCACAUGGCACAGAAAAAAAUUAGAAGUAGGAGUGAAUUUUUAUAUGUAACUCUAGAAUUUAAUGUUACGAACUCCAUCACCCUGGUCGAGAAUAGAUUCCUUUGAAGAAAAUCCUUGUUAUCAAUUUCCAUAAAUAAUAGUUUGGGUUUAUUGGUUUGGUUUUUUUUGUCAGUAAAGAUACUCUAUGGGGGAAGGAUUGUCCUUAAAGCCCAUUUAAUGAUGAUCUAAAAGUUUUUCUGUAAAAAUUUGAUGUGAUUUCUAGACAAUCUUUUUUUUUGUAAGUAGAAAAACGAAAUAAAUUUUUUUACUAUUUAAGGAUUAAUGAAUCUUAGAUUUCCAAAAAUAAUCUAAAUUAAUGUUUGUUUUGAAUGUAACGCUCUUAAUAAAUAAGUCCGUUCUGCUUCA